CGGAAGUGACCCAGUGACCACUUGGGACAGCCCCUUCCGUGUCUCCCGGGGACCGCGCUUGUGAGAGGUGGGCAGAUGCGGUGUGGCCGCUGACCUUGGGUGGCCUCCCGGAGUCCCUGUUUCCUCAUCUAUCACACGGGAACAGUAAUCUGGACCUCACAGCAUUGUUGUGAGAGACAGAGGAUUUGCAAUAUAACAUCUAAUGCCUGCAACAAACUGGAUAAUUGCCUUGAGCAAAUAUUAGGAUAAAGAACUCCAUGAUAACAAACCACAACGCAUAUUCACAAUGGGUGCUGACUGAUUUGCAGCAUGACAGAUACAAUUUUUGUAAUUCAGCAGUUCAUCUCCAAAUCCAUUAACCAGCCAUAGAAUGGCCUUGGAAAGUGUUCCAGGAAUGGACUUUCUGCAGUAUGAUGACCUGCAAAAGCACCCUUUCCAUUUAUGCUUCAAACUCCAAGUCAGCCGUGUCAAAGUUUGCACUAGGGCUGUGGAGGAUAAUGGGUCAGAUGCAAUUAGCAGCCGAGAGAGCUGCACAUUGCACUCUGAUUUAUUUUUUUGCCCAUCAGAUUCCAAGAAUCCUAGUGCUUAAAAGCAACUAAACAAUCACUCUAUUGUACUGAAAUAAAGCCCAGUUAAUUCAAAAAUCAAUUGCACCACCAGGUGGGGCACACUCUGGCCCCAAACAGAUGGGGUCGAAGCCCCUCCAUCCCCCAACGAAGUCUUGUUAAAUUAAAAACUUGAUCCAGAAGUGGAACAAAUAGGGAGCCAUGAAUGGAAUGGAGUCAGGUCCACUCAGGCGAAUUCUUUCUUCUCUCAGGCUUUUCCCUUCCUUUCAAAGUGAAAAAUUUACCAUUCCACUUUCUCCAGUGUUAACAUCUCUGCAGAAACGCAGCCAUCCACCCUUUGCAGUUCAAUAUGUUACUUUAAUUAGUCUGAAAAUUAAAGGGCAACUCUGGGCCAAUGUGAAUGAUUAUGAAAAUACAUGUGCAUCCCAUGCAAUCCUCUCAUUUAAUUAAUAGUCUUGUAAACUAUAUGGCACACUUGAAGUCAGUUGAGAGGUAUAACAACUCCAUUUUAAUAUCCACUUAAUAUUUAACAGAAUGUGAGGAACACGCUGAAGCAUACAGUCCCUUCUCAAGUUUCACUGUCUGAAAAUUUUCAAAGCUGACCCAAGUCAACCCGAAAAAUGUUUAACACCCUGGGCUUGAACACAAGAAACUCUGUGAUGAACAGACAUUCAAUUACAUUUUUUAAAAGUGAGAAGCAUUUUUGUAAAAUAGCUGCUCUGGAAACUAAUUGGCAGACAGGAAACUAGUGAGUGAAGGCCAAAUCUUGUGGGGAACUUUUACUACAGUAACAGGACUCAAAGAAAAUGUGAAUAAAAGGCAUCUUUGUU
ensembl:lncRNA